UCGGGAAUUUUGGGCAAUGGGCGAAAGCCUGAUGCAGCAACGCCGCGUGCGGGAAGAAGGCCCUCGGGUUGUAAACCGCUUUCAGAAGGAACGAAACUGACGGUACUUUCAGAAGAAGGUGCGGCCAACUACGUGCCAGCAGCCGCGGUGACACGUAGGCACCAAGCGUUGUCCGGAUUUAUUGGGCGUAAAGAGCUCGUAGGCGGUUCAGUAAGUCGGGUGUGAAAACUUUGGGCUUAACCCAAAGCGUGCAUCCGAUACUGCUGUGACUUGAGUACGGUAGGGGAGCGGGGAAUUCCUAGUGUAGCGGUGAAAUGCGCAGAUAUUAGGAGGAACACCGGUGGCGAAGGCGCCGCUCUGGGCCGAAACUGACGCUGAGGAGCGAAAGCAUGGGUAGCAAACAGGAUUAGAUACCCAUGUAGUCCCUGAGCGGGCUGGCAAGGCGCAU
rnacentral:rRNA from 1 species